GAACUUAACUCUAGUAGACAGAGGCUAAGGGAACUUCAGCUUGAACUAGGAGGCAAAAAUGGCAUUCUAAAAGCUAUGAAAUUAGAAUUGACGGCAAAAGAGAAAACAUAAAAGUUGCAUGAAAGUAUUGGAAAUGAGGUUGCAGCAGCUUAGAGUAAGC